rnacentral:lncRNA from 1 species
GGGGCAUGGCCCUCCGGUCGCCCCCUUUCCCCCUGUCCCCACGCCUAUGUAAAACUCAGCUCCGGUUUGUGAGAACAGAAAGGAUGCGACCUCCAGAAAAAAUGAACCUUCAGUGCACAAGGGAUUCCAGAGAAAAACUGUUCGCGUGCGCUCAUACAGGCGACGCCGUCGCCAUCACCAACAGUCUCGCGCUCGGACGCCCAUCGGAUACAGACGGAGGAGAGUGAGGCGCUGGACGAGCCUGUCUCUUGCCGUGCUGAAGACGCUGCGUCGGAAGACCGCCAGUUCCGGUUGGUGAAUCUGGCUGCUCUGACUCCGUCCAGCUGGCCGACGGGCGAGUGCCUACACAGCAGCUCGCUGGCGCCGCCGUUGCGCGCGCGCGUCCAGACGGCAGUCGGCCCGCGGGCCAGCCUCGCAGCAUCUGUAGUGGCCGUGCUGCGCGGAGGAAUGCAUCCGGGAGCUGCCGGAUGAGGCCGUCUGGAUCUGUUCGGACGGGCCGGCGGAGGAUGGUUUGGCGGCGGUGGCUCCCUGCUCCGCUUACCAGAUGGAGACGACUGGGUUAUACGGGUUCCGGCGGGCCGCUUCUGCUCCAGUGCGCGCGCGGAGCUCACCGCGCACCCGCCCCGGUCCAAGCCGCUACCAGAUGGAGACGACUGGGACAUAUGGGUCCCGGCGGGCCGCUUCUGCUCCAGUGCGCGCGCGGAGCUCACGGCGCCCCCGCCCCGGUCCGAGUGCUACCAGGGAGAAGGCUGUUACACUUAUCAGCGCUGGUCGGGCCACUGGGGAUGAUCGGGGCAGCAUCUCCACCGGAUUGAAAGAAGGCCAACGUCCGAGUGCGCCCAGUGCAGUCAGCAGUGACACCGAAUGUCCAACAGGCCGCUGCCUGGUCUGCGGCGAAGCAGCAGACAAUUAGGCGCACGUGUUGCUGGAGUGUCCGUGCUUUUACGGCCUCCGGCUCCGUGCGCGGGGAAACAUCGUCGGCGCGGCCCACGAUGUCGAACGCGACGACAUGGUGGCGAUCUUGGUCGCCGGCUACGAGGCCCACAAGAGCCUUGUUUUGGCUACGGCGGCAGCUUUGGGGACACCACAACAGCUGACGGCGGCCGCGGCCCCAGAGAUGCGCACCUGCGGGCAGGGCGGCCGCUGAUCUACAUCUCAGCUGAUUAUACUGAACAGACGGAGGAGACUGAGGCGCUGGACAACGAGUCUGUCUCUGGCCGUACUGAAGACGCUGCGUCGGAAGACCGUCAGUUCUGGUUGGGAAUCUGGCUGCUCUGACUCCGUCCAGCUGGCCGACGAGUGCGUGCCAAGACAGCCGCCGCCGCCGCCGCCGCCCCCGCGCGCGCGCCAAGACGGCCGUCUACCGGCGCCGAUGCCGCCACGCGCACGCUAGACGCCCGUCCACUGGUGCCACCGCCUCACGCGCGCGCACAGUCGGCAGCCGCCGCGUGUGCGUGCCCGCCCAGAAUAUGCGCUCUGCCGCCGUUGACUGCGGCUCGAGAUUCACGUUCAAGGUUUAGGCAUACACUCAUGUUAAUUGUCUACAUUCAUGAAGGUGCGUGGUGACAAAGAUGCCUCGUCUGUGGCAGCGGAUUUGCUUGUUCCGCCUCAACAUGUGCAAAGUUGUUAUGUAAACUGAUGCGCUCGGCAUUCGCCGUCCGCUCGCGCUGGUGGCGCGCGAACGAAUGACCUGGCCCUGUUCAUGGCUCAUGCGGACCUGACGAGCGGCGGUAUGACGCAAUCGCAUAGACGGAUUACCUUUCACCGCGAAGAAAAUCAUUAUCAGCUGGCUUAAAAUUAUGCAAUUGUUUGCCCUCAGUUCGCCGGGUAAUAUCAUUCUUUGAUCAUUCAUGCUGACUUGCGAGGCUGAUAUUUGAUAAUAUAUAGUGUGAAGCGUUCCAUUUUUUUUUCUUAUUUCAAAACUCAUCUGUGUAUCUCGCAACAAUAAUCAACCGAGUCUUUUCUGUUCUGCAGAAUUUGGAAGCUGAGCGAGACUUAAGCAAUACAUUUGAAUAAUUC